rnacentral:rRNA from 1 species
AGAGUUUGAUCCUGGCUCAGAUUGAACGCUGGCGGCAUGCCUUACACAUGCAAGUCGAACGGCAGCGCGGGGCAACCUGGCGGCGAGCGGCGGACGGGUGAGUAAUAUAUCGGAACGUACCCUGGAGUGGGGGAUAACGUAGCGAAAGUUACGCUAAUACCGCAUACGAUCUAAGGAUGAAAGUGGGGGAUCGCAAGACCUCAUGCUCCUGGAGCGGCCGAUAUCUGAUUAGCUAGUUGGCGGGGUAAAAGCCCACCAAGGCAACGAUCAGUAGCUGGUCUGAGAGGACGACCAGCCACACUGGAACUGAGACACGGUCCAGACUCCUACGGGAGGCAGCAGUGGGGAAUUUUGGACAAUGGGCGCAAGCCUGAUCCAGCAAUGCCGCGUGAGUGAAGAAGGCC